rnacentral:rRNA from 1 species
UUUGGAAGGCAAAUUUGGUGCCAGCAGCCGCGGUAAUUCCAACUUCAAUAGCGUAUAUUAAAGUUGUUGCAGUUAAAAAGCUCGUAGUUGAAUUUCGGGGUUAGUAAGUUGGUCGUGCCACUGGUAUGUACUGGCUUUACUGAUUCCUCCUUCUUGUAGAACUGUACAUGCCAUUUAAUUUGGUGUUGCGGGAAAACAGGACUGUUACUUUAAAAAAAUUAAAGGGU